ensembl:lncRNA
GGCACACAGUAUUUUUUCUAUUCACGUUUCAAACACUGACUUCGCCAAACUUGCUUUGUUUUCCUGGGGCUAUUUUCUGGCGGUUAGCACUUGGCUGAUAGGUAGCUUCGAGCGUGCUGACGUCACCGGGUUGCCGUAGAGCUAGUAGCGAUGGGGACACCGUUGCCCUGGCGACAGCGCUCAUAAGUUAUCGGCGAUUGCUAGCUGCUGUAUGAACUUUAACGCUGCAGAAAAGGCUUCAGCAGACAGGGGGGGUAGCUGUUACCCCGACGACAGCACACACAAGUCAUCCGUGCCAGCGAGCAUCUGUUUGAAACGCUCCGUAUACGGCUCGGAGUGCCGCUAACACGCUCCAAAACGUAGUCACAUAUGGCUUCUUCACUGGUGCCCGACUUUUCAUCGGUUAUGGUGGUUCUGGAGCGUUUAAAGGAGCUGGACGAAUACCUGAAAGAGGAGGAGGUACCGUUCGCACCUGAGGCCAGCCUCCACCUGAUGGAGAUAACGACUGCUGUCAGCGAGCUGGAGGCAGACAGGCGUGCUGCUCGUGAACACUUGGAAGUGGAAAGCAUAGAAAACAGCAAACUGAGA